rnacentral:rRNA from 1 species
CCUACGGGUGGCAGCAGUGGGGAAUAUUGCGCAAUGGGCGAAAGCCUGACGCAGCGACGCCGCGUGAGGGAUGAAGGCCCUCGGAGUGUAAACCUCUGUUAGCAGGGGAGUACGGUCACUGUCCUAAUCAGCAGUGAAUUGACGGUACCUGCAAAGGAAGCACCGGCUAACUCCGUGCCAGCAGCCGUGGUAAUACGGAGGGUGCGAGCGUUAAUCGGAUUUACUGGGUGUAAAGCGCGCGUAGGCGGUAUGUCAAGUCAAGGGUGAAAUCCCCGGGCUCAACGUGGGAACUGCCUUUGAAACUGGUGAACUGGAGAGUGGGAGAGGAUAGUGGAAU